rnacentral:rRNA from 1 species
GAUGAACGCUGGCGGCGUGCCUAAUACAUGCAAGUCGAGCGAACGGACGCGAAGCUUGCUUCUCUGAUGUUAGCGGCGGACGGGUGAGUAACACGUGGAUAACCUACCUAUAAGACUGGGAUAACUUCGGGAAACCGGAGCUAAUACCGGAUAAUAUUUUGAACUGCAUGGUUCAAAAGUGAAAGACGGUCUUGCUGUCACUUCUAGAUGGAUCCGCGCUGCAUUAGCCAGUUGGUAGGGUAACGGCUUACCAAGGCAACGAUGGAUAGCCGACCUGAGAGGGCGAUCGGCCGCUCAGGAUCUGAGUCACGUUCCCGACCCCGACGGAAGGCAGAAGUAGGAAAUUUUCCGCAAUGGGCGAAAGCAUGACUGAUCAACGCGGCGUGAGUGAAGAAGGUCUUCGGAUCGUAAAACGCUGUUAUUAGGGAAGAACACAUGUGUGAAUAACUGUGCGCAUCUUGACGGUACCUAAUCAGAAGGCCACGGUUACCUCCUG